UACUAGUAUACAACAACUCAAACACAUUCCCUCACGCCCCCAUGGACACAUAAAAGUUUAAUUCCAAGUUAAACUAUCUAGAAAAUUAAUAUGAAGGUCAAAAUGGGACAGUUUUUCUAGUUGAAAACCCUGUUUAUUUAUUCUUUAAUCCAAACAUUUUUACAAAUCUGAAAAAGAGGUUGAUUACAUUUUAAAUAUUCACUUCUGCCUAUUUGGUUCUGUUUGGUUAAAGGGUGAUGGGAUUUGGCCAGGCUUUCUUCCCAGAAUCAAGAGUCAUUCUCUGAGGAAGAGUAGACUCACUCACUGUCUUGAAACACUGAUGGAUGAAAGAGACCAGAUAAAGAAGACCAAUACCCUGAGUACCUUGGGAUACUUAUCCAGAAGUCAAUCAAGAAAUAAAAGUUAGUCUAGCUAAGAAGUUUUAUGUGUUGAGUGCAUUGUAGAUAAAAAACAAAAAACAAAAACAAAAAAACAAAAAAAAACUGCCCAGUGAUAAAGGGAAAUUCAGUGUGUGGAUAGUCAGGUUUCAGGCACAUUGUUUCAGGAAAAGUCAAGAGUCUGGGUAGAUUGUCUGUUAGACAUGCAUAGAAAUAAUGUCCUAAGGUCAGCUUUAAUCCAAGCCUCAGAAAAGGCAAAUAAUUUGCACAAGGAAAAACUCUUUGAAAUGGUCAGAGAAUGUAGCUUCAACAGCAGCUUGGAAAUUUGAAAUGCUCAACUUUAGAAAGGUUGGCCCCCACAUGACAGAAAGCUGCCGAAUUAGCACAAACCCAUUCCUAGUCUAACAAAGACUGAUUUGAUUCUCAUCAGAUAUUGUUGUUCAACUGAGAGAGACUAUUUCUGAAUAUUUGGUAAUAAUUCUAUAACCUCACAAAGAUUUUCUACUUUUGCAAAUAAAACCUCUAAAUAAUUCUGGAACCCUGCCCCU
rnacentral:lncRNA from 1 species